rnacentral:rRNA from 1 species
GAUUAGUGGCGAACGGGUGAGUAACACGUGGGCAAUCUGCCCUGCACUCUGGGACAAGCCCUGGAAACGGGGUCUAAUACCGGAUAUGACCAUCUUGGGCAUCCUUGAUGGUGUAAAGCUCCGGCGGUGCAGGAUGAGCCCGCGGCCUAUCAGCUUGUUGGUGAGGUAAUGGCUCACCAAGGCGACGACGGGUAGCCGGCCUGAGAGGGCGACCGGCCACACUGGGACUGAGACACGGCCCAGACUCCUACGGGAGGCAGCAGUGGGGAAUAUUGCACAAUGGGCGAAAGCCUGAUGCAGCGACGCCGCGUGAGGGAUGACGGCCUUCGGGUUGUAAACCUCUUUCAGCAGGGAAGAAGCGAAAGUGACGGUACCUGCAGAAGAAGCGCCGGCUAACUACGUGCCAGCAGCCGCGGUAAUACGUAGGGCGCAAGCGUUGUCCGGAAUUAUUGGGCGUAAAGAGCUCGUAGGCGGCUUGUCACGUCGAUUGUGAAAGCUCGGGGCUUAACCCCGAGUCUGCAGUCGAUACGGGCUAGCUAGAGUGUGGUAGGGGAGAUCGGAAUUCCUGGUGUAGCGGUGAAAUGCGCAGAUAUCAGGAGG